AAUGAACGUUGGCGGCGUGGAUUAGGCAUGCAAGUCGAGCGAGAAGCUUUCCUUCGGGGAAGUGGACAGCGGCGUAAGGGACAGUAAUGUGUAGAUCAUCUGCCCCCAGGUCCGGGAUAGCUGCGGGAAACUGCAGGUAAUACCGGAUAAUAUCUGCGGAUCAAAGGUGUGAUUCCGCCUGGGGAUGAGUCUACAUCCUAUUAGCUUGUUGGUAGGUAACGGCCUACCAAGGCUUUGAUGGGUAGCGGGUGUGAGAGCACGACCCGCGUCACUGGGACUGAGACACUGCCCAGACACCUACGGGGGCUG
rnacentral:rRNA from 1 species